UCUUAUUUAUUUAUAAAAUUUAAUUUUUUUAUUAAAAAGUUAAAAUAAUUUAAAAAGACGAGAAGACCCUAUAGAGUUUUAUAAAUAUAUUAAAUUAAGAUUUAUAUGUAAUAUAAUUUUAAAAUUUAAUUAUUUAUUUUAUUGGGGUGAUAAAAAAAUAUAAAAAACUUUUUUUAUUAUUUUUAAUAAACAUUGAUAAAUGAUUAAAUGAUCCAAUAAUAUUGAUUAUAAGAAAAAAUUACCUUAGGGAUAACAGCGUAAUUUUUUUUUUUAGUUCAAAUAAAAAAAAAAGUUUGCGACCUCGAUGUUGGAUUAAGAUAAAUUUUAAAUGUAGAAG
rnacentral:rRNA from 1 species